UUAGAAAAAUAGGUGUUGAACCUAUAA
rnacentral:tRNA from 1 species